ACAUGACAGAGGUGCAUAUAGAAACUUCAUGGGCCUAAUGAGCUUUUGAGCCCAACCGUGUGGCCAAGAGAAGAGUGGGAAGUAUCAGCUCAAUCCACUUCCACAUUUCCCUUGUUUCAACUUCGUUUCACUCCCAAGUAUGCUUUCUCGCUGAAACUAUGCUCCGUCGUGCCGGAGGCGGCGAAGUUUUCUAUAUUAACCAAACACUACCACCGAAUCGCUCCUCUCAACAUCCUAUCCCUCAAUAUUUCCUCAAUUAAUUCCAAAACCUAACCAAUUCUCUGAAUUGAACAAAGAACACAAUGAAACCUAAACUACCAAAUACGAAAUUAAACGCCAACGAAGCUUCAAUCUGAACUCAAACUUUAGGGGUUUGGUUCGGAUACAACAAGGCUACAUUGCAGUGACGGAAUUAAAGCGAGAAUAAGAGGAAUUGAGGACCUACUUGCGAUACCGUUGUUUGUCUCAGACUUUGUUGAAGAUGAAGCUGAAUAUUACACAGAGAAAAAACCCAGAGAAUCUUUAAUCAUUGGAGAGUGUAGAGCACAAAGAGUGGUAAUGGAAUGUAGGUUUAGCUCUAUUGUUGCAAGCUUCAAGAUGAAGCUUGCUCCAACAAUGGAGUUUUGGAUCUUUGGUGUGAGAGGGAAGAGGUGAUUGGUGAUUGAUGCAAAAAAUGAUGAGAGCAGAGUGAAGUGAUGGAAUGAUUUUGAUUCCUAAAGAUUGAAGAGUGGGUGAUUUUAUAUAGAGGGAAAUCCUAACAGAAUCGGGCAAAGGUUUUGGGCAGUGGUUGUUAGAGUUAGGGCAACUGUUAGUGUUAGUUAGCUUCAAGAGGAAAAUGGUUAUGAAUUUGACACUGUUAAAUUAUGUUAGUAGCAGUUAGUUAAAUGUUGAAUUGAGGUGUUAGUAGAUUGAAGUUGGUGAAAUUAGUUAUGUAGUUAGGCUUAAAUGGUUUGAACUUGGAAGUUAGUUGUAGUUAUAACAAUUAGGUAACUUGGUUCAGUUAUUAUGACAGUUGGUGAAGUGGAAAUUUAUGGAAGUUAGAAUUAGUUGUCAUGUUUUCAGUUAUAACAGUUUGGAACCCUACGAUUAUAUAUGGCCUCGUCUAGAAUCAUUCCAUCCUCUGGUUUGUCAGGAACCCUUUGAUUAUAUAUGGCCUCGUCUAGAAUCAUUCCAUCACAUAUGGUUCGUCGGAACACUUCGAUUAUAUCUGACCUCAUCCAGAAUCAAUCAACUACCUAUGGUCCGUCCGGAGCAUUUCAAUCAUCUUUGAUUCGUCUGGAACACUUCGAUUAUAUCUGGCCUCGGCCAAAACCAUUUCUCCAUCAUAUGGUCCAUCUGGAACAUUUCGAUUAGACAUGGCCUCGUCCAGGAUCAUUUCAAAUCAUCUUUGGUUCGUCUGGAACACUUCGAUUACACUUGGCCUCGUCCAGGAUCAUUUCAUCCAAUAACACUUCGAUCUUCUCUAGCCUCAUCCAGAUCUUUUCAUUCUCUCUAUGACACUUGUUUAUCACAUUCUCUUUGGUAUCUUUGCUACAUCCAAGUAGAUGACUCAUUCCAAAUCCUACCUAAGGAUUAUUAGGGCAAAUCUAAGAUUCAAAGGUAUAACAUUAACAUAUGGAUGAAUGUCUGACCGUAUAUCCUCAACGAAGUUAAAUCCUUCAUACAUUUGUUCAUUUCACCAUAAUUUUCCUCUUAAGAGACAAAAUCGAGGUCUCCCUAUAUUUAAUUAUCCUCUACCACGAACGUGCGAAGACUUCGUCCUUCGCACUCUCGAGUUGAAGGGUAAUUAAAUAGGGGCAACUGUCAUACCCCAUUAUUGUCCGGAAUUUUACUAUUAUUUGAGUUUUACUUGUAUUUUAUCUUGAAUGAAUGAGAUAGACCAUUUGGUAGUGAAGUGGGAAUUCAAGGAGGUACAAGCAUGAGGUCAUGAGUUCAAAUACCAUUUCCCCAAUUUUAGAGUUUUUUCUCCUUUUUGUGUUUUACCUUCAUUUAUAUUAUUUUAAAAUUAAAAAAUUGCACUUUUUUUUCUUCGAAUAUUUAUUAAAUUAUUUUUUAAUAAUUAUUAUAUUAUUUAUUUUAAUGUAUUUUUAGUCUAAAAAUCAAAAUCAAAACCAAAAUCUUUUUUAUUCUUGUUAUUAUUAAUAUUAUUCAAUAUUAGUUAUUAUUUUCAAUUAUUACAUUAUUUUUAUUAUUACAUUAAAAUUAUAAAAAAAUCAAAAUCAUUUAAAUUUUAGCUGCUACAUUCGCAUAUGUCAUUAAUCCAUCCAUAUUCAUUUGCUUGGCCAUAAAGAAAUAAAUCAGAUUAAAUCAUAUACAAAACUAUCAAAUCGGAAUCAAUCUCAUUCAAGUCUUGACCUAAUUCUACACUAUAAAUAAGACUUAAUUCUACACUAUAAAUAAGACCUAAAAUUACAAUGAAAAUGCAUUCACUUUUUACAAAAUCAUUAUCCCUAAAAUUGUUGUUCUUCACAACGAAGAAUAACAACAACUAAAUCCUAAAAUCUUAAGCUCCAGUCGCCCUGCAACCAAAAUUUCAGUAGGCAAUCCCUUGCAUCAAACAAAAGAGGAAGGAGAAGUCAGAAACAAUUCAAACAAAAGAAGGAGAAAGAACAAAGAAAAGGAGAGAAAGAAGACGAAAUAUACUUGUGGAGUUCUUCUCGGAUAACUUUCGGGUUGAUAAUCUCUUUACUUUUUUUCUUGGUAUAUUUUUGUGUUGUAUGCACUCAUAAUGUAAUACCUUGUAAAUAAACAAACAAAAUUGAAAUA